rnacentral:rRNA from 1 species
UACGGGGGGGGCAAGCGUUGUUCGGAAUUACUGGGCGUAAAGGGCUCGUAGGCGGCCAACUAAGUCAUACGUGAAAUCCCUCGGCUUAACCGGGGAACUGCGUCUGAUACUGGAUGGCUUGAGUUCGGGAGAGGGAUGCGGAAUUCCAGGUGUAGCGGUGAAAUGCGUAGAUAUCUGGAGGAACACCGGUGGCGAAGGCGGGUCUCUGGGCCGAUGACUGACGCUGAGGAGCGAAAGCGUGGGGAGCAAACAGG